rnacentral:rRNA from 1 species
GACGAACGCUGGCGGCGUGCCUAAUACAUGCAAGUUGAGCGCUGAAGGUUGGUACUUGUACCGACUGGAUGAGCAGCGAACGGGCGAGUAACGCGUGGGGAAUCUGCCUUUGAGCGGGGGACAACAUUUGGAAACGAAUGCUAAUACCGCAUAAAAACUUUAAACACAAGUUUUAAGUUUGAAAGAUGCAAUUGCAUCACUCAAAGAUGAUCCCGCGUUGUAUUAGCUAGUUGGUGAGGUAAAGGCUCACCAAGGCGAUGAUACAUAGCCGACCUGAGAGGGUGAUCGGCCACAUUGGGACUGAGACACGGCCCAAACUCCUACGGGAGGCAGCAGUAGGGAAUCUUCGGCAAUGGACGAAAGUCUGACCGAGCAACGCCGCGGGAGUGAAGAAGGUUUUCGGAUCGUAAAACUCUGUUGGUAGAGAAGAACGUUGGUGAGAGUGGAAAGCUCAUCAAGUGACGGUAACUACCCAGAAAGGGACGGCUAACUACGUG